UCUCCUCCUCCUCCACCUCCUCCGACAGCAGCCCGGUGUAUCGCCUCCAGAAGCGGCCCGGUUACUGCCUUCCUCCCGCAGACAGCCUCUGAUCCGUGGGGCGGUGGAUGUGGGGUGGUCCGGCCUGUGGAUCGGCCCUGGGUGAGUCCAUGCCGAGAAUCGAGAAGCCUUCGUCGAUGAUUCUGCACCUGCUCCACCUCUCAGCAGCAGCAGCAGCAGCAGCCGCAGCCGUGGACCCCGGCCAUUACAGACGGGAGAAUAAAUUAAUAUAAAUUAAUAAAUAUGAGAAUAAAUAAUACAGAUGUUAAUCCGCCGGCUCUAUGACACCGUCUCCUCCUCCAUGUUUUUGUUCCGCCGAUCCGCUGCUGCUGCCUGCCUGGCUCGGUCGGUCGGUCGGUCGGGGCGGUGAUGGUGAUGUCCCCCUUUGGGAGAGGCUCUCUCUCUCUCUCUCUCUCUGCUGAUGGAGGAGCCAGCUGACCCACUCUGGAUGACGUCACACGUCUGCAACGAACGAGCGCAAUCACUGCGUCAAGUCAAGGCACGUGACACCGGAAACAAACGUCGUUACUUCAAAAUAAAGCAACAGCACAGACAGCAUACUCUCUAAACUCCCCACAUCAGGAAAUCCCGCCUAGGCUGUGGAUCCCUGACUCCUCUAUAGACGAGUAUACGGGGGUUAGCGCCAUUUUGAGGGGUGUCCGUAACCUGAGUGAUCAAUUCUAAUGCCCCAUAAGGCGACUCAAAAUUUCCCACAAAGCAUUGCAAAAUGUAGUGACCACCACCGGUAAUGGGCAUCCCAUCGUGCAUUGUGUCUCGCCAUGUAGUGUCGGAAACCCCCAGUGACACUAAAGUGUCUGAUGUUCCUGUCAGAUCGUUUAUAAAGUCACAUUAUUACCGAAAGAAAAGUUGAAAAGACCUUCUCACAAAUAGUUUUAAUGGAAUAAAACGUCUGUUGGUGCUUUUAUUCUGAAAGUUCCAACCGGAAGUAAUAUUAUGAGCUGUUUGGUUUCUUGAUCUCAGUGACUAACAGACCCUGUUCUAAAUUUAAUAAUAAUGACGGUGCACUCUCAUAAACAGAAAUAAAAGCUUCUUAAUUCAAACAGUUUUAAUUCAACAUCAGCUGACCUUCAGAAAACCUCCAUGAACGAUUAUCGAUUAUUGAUCAGUUUCAAAGAUUAAAACUGAGGCUUCAUGUUUACUGACACAACAUGAACAAACACAACAUUUCUACCACUCAGCUGCUCAAACAGUCAAAUAUGAUCAAAUCAAUGUAAAGUUGUUUUUAUAGGUUUUCUGCUGCAGGUUAAACUGUCGUCUGAAGAAGAUCCAAAUAUAAGAACUAGAUAUAAAACAGACAGGAAACUGAGUCAACAGUUCCCCUCCUGAAAAAACUGAUCAUCUGGUUAUGUGGCUCUGAGAGAGGACGGUCUACGGGUGCUGGGAAGGGUUAGGGUUAGGAUGGUUUUAAAGACUAGAGUAGAUUUAGAGUAAAGGAAUGACCGGGUCCUGCAGGAUGGUAUUUCACAGGGUCAGAGUCUCAGGGUGGAGCAUCUCAUCAGUGAAUUUCUCCGCCUCAUUCUGACCAUGUUUUUUUAUCAUCCAGGACACUUCACACCCUGCUGCCUAACUGUUGGACCUGCUGCCUUCUGGAAGGUGUCAAGGAGGGACAAACAGACUGAAAAACUGUUUCUUCCCUAGAGCCAUCACCACCUUGAACCCCCAUAGAAAACAACCCCAGCCUUCAAUAUGAGUAACAAGUGCAAUAUACUUACUACUGCCACUGCUGCUUUGUGAAUCCUACUUCAAUAUUUUCGUCCACCCUGGGUGAUAUUGUGUCUCUUCAUGUUCAGGUCCUCUACCAGAGGCCUGGGAGCUUGAGGGUCCUGCACAGUAUCCUUGCUGUUCCUAGGACUGCACUCUUCUGGACUGAGAUGUUUCUGAUGUUUCCCCAGGGAUCUGUUGGAGCCACUUCUUCUCCAGUGUGGGGGUUACUGCCCUGAUGACCACAGGCACCACUGUUGCCUUCACCUUCCAGGCUUUCUCUAUCUCCUCUUUGACAGCUACCGCAAUGGCUUUCCUCUGCUGUUUGUUUACGAUUACAAUGUCUAGUUUGUUGGCCAUCACCAUUUUGUCGGUCUGUAUCUGGAAGUCCCACAGGAUCUUGGCUCGGUCAUUCCCCAUCACCUUGGGAGGUUCUUCCCAUUUAGACCUUGGGGUUUCCAGUCCAGAUUCUGCACAGAUGUUCCUGUACACUAUACCGCCGACUUUGUUUUGGCGUUCCAUGUUUGCUUUUCCUGCCAG